GAAAUUUGGUCUAAUACCCCAUAAUACCGAUAUAGGCAUCUAUGUUGGUUGAAAGCUUUGGUGGUGUCAGAUGGGCAUGCGUUGUAUUAGCUAGUUGGUGAGGUAACGGCUCACCAAGGCGACGAUACAUAGGGGGACUGAGAGGUUAACCCCCCACACUGGUACUGAGACACGGACCAGACUCCUACGGGAGGCAGCAUG
rnacentral:rRNA from 1 species